rnacentral:rRNA from 1 species
GACGAACCGUCCGAACGUUAUUCGGAAUCACUGGGCUUAAAGGGUGCGUAGGCGGCGCGGGAAAGUUGGGUGUGAAAUCCCUCGCUUAACCGAGGAACUGCGCCCAAAACUACCGUGCUUUGAGGGAGAUAGAGGUGAGCGGAACUUAGGGUGGAGCGGUGAAAUGCGUUGAUAUCCUAAGGAACACCGGUGGCGAAAGCGGCUCACUGGAUCUCUUCUGACGCUGAUGCACGAAAGCUAGGGUAGCGAACGGG